rnacentral:rRNA from 1 species
CUUGAUGUGUAGGAUAGGUGGGAGGCUUUGAAGUGUGGACGCCAGUCUGCAUGGAGCCGACCUUGAAAUACCACCCUUUAAUGUUUGAUGUUCUAACGUUGACCCGUAAUCCGGGUUGCGGACAGUGUCUGGUGGGUAGUUUGACUGGGGCGGUCUCCUCCUAAAGAGUAACGGAGGAGCACGAAGGUUGGCUAAUCCUGGUCGGACAUCAGGAGGUUAGUGCAAUGGCAUAAGCCAGCUUGACUGCGAGCGUGACGGCGCGAGCAGGUGCGAAAGCAGGUCAUAGUGAUCCGGUGGUUCUGAAUGGAAGGGCCAUCGCUCAACGGAUAAAAGGUACUCCGGGGAUAACAGGCUGAUACCGCCCAAGAGUUCAUAUCGACGGCGGUGUUUGGCACCUCGAUGUCGGCUCAUCACAUCCUGGGGCUGAAGUAGGUCCCAAGGGUAUGGCUGUUCGCCAUUUAAAGUGGUACGCGAGCUGGGUUUAGAACGUCGUGAGACAGUUCGGUCCCUAUCUGCCGUGGGCGCUGGAGAAUUGAGGGGGGCUGCUCCUAGUACGAGAGGACCGGAGUGGACGCAUCACUGGUGUUCGGGUUGUCAUGCCAAUGGCACUGCCCGGUAGCUAAAUGCGGAAGAGAUAAGUGCUGAAAGCAUCUAAGCACGAAACUUGCCCCGAGA